AGCGAACGCUGGCGGCAGGCUUAACACAUGCAAGUCGAGCGGGCGUAGCAAUACGUCAGCGGCAGACGGGUGAGUAACGCGUGGGAACAUACCUUUUGGUUCGGAACAACACAGGGAAACUUGUGCUAAUACCGGAUAAGCCCUUACGGGGAAAGAUUUAUCGCCGAAAGAUUGGCCCGCGUCUGAUUAGCUAGUUGGUGAGGUAAUGGCUCACCAAGGCGACGAUCAGUAGCNGGUCUGAGAGGAUGAUCAGCCACAUUGGGACUGAGACACGGCCCAAACUCCUACGGGAGGCAGCAGUGGGGAAUAUUGGACAAUGGGCGCAAGCCUGAUCCAGCCAUGCCGCGUGAGUGAUGAAGGCCCUAGGGUUGUAAAGCUCUUUCGUGCGGGAAGAUAAUGACGGUACCGCAAGAAUAAGCCCCGGCUAACUUCGUGCCAGCCGCCG
rnacentral:rRNA from 1 species